ensembl:antisense Gm43938 predicted gene, 43938
GCAGCAGAGGGGCCCUGAUGGGGACCUGGUCCCCGCCGGCUCAACCUUAAUGCGCUGCGGUUGCCCACCAGUUCCUUGGCAGCCCCACCCCAGGCCACUCCUGGUAGAAGUCUUCCCCGCUGCUGGGGCUGCGGCUGCGGCUGCAGUGGUAGCUCCUGCGAGAGGCCUGCAGGGGGCGUCAUCCCCUCUUCUGACGAUGUGGGUAGCGGCCACUGCCUACUGCCUGCUGUAGGGGAAGGUGAGGGAUCCACGCAAGACUCAUUCUGCAGCAGUUGGUCAUCCAGGUAAUCCAGAAUUGUCUCCUUCAGCCACUGAGAGAAAGAGAGGAGACAAAAUCAUGCAACAUUUCCAGUGAGACUGAACCCACAAGUGCUGAGAGCUCCUCGAGUUCUGCUUUGACGCUACAUUGACGCUCCAUGGCAUGGAAAAGGGGCUGGCUUCCUAAUGUGGAGAGGAGGUUUAUGCAUUCUAAGGAAGAGAAGCUGCUCUCUCCUUGGACGUCCUGCCCACCUAGGCACCUGGGGUCCAUCUUUCAUCUGACUCUAAUCAUCUUGGCCAAGAACACGCCUCCUGACUCCCCUCAGCACAGACCCCACAGUUUUCUGGAAGGCUGUCUCCAAAGCACACAGAAGAACAGGAGGCUUCCUCUGCACCCUGAUUUGUGUUAAAGAGUCAAGUCUUGAGAAAAAGCAGCACCUCUCUAACGGUGGCAUGCCGUGCUCUCUCUCUCUCCCUUGCAAGGCAAAGCUGAGCCUCCUUUGAGAAGAAUGCAUGUGAGAUGGCGUGCUGCAAUUGGCCGCUGGCUAACAGAGAUGCUGUCACAAAGUAAUGGAGUGACACAGUGACCCACUGGUCUCUUCCCCACCAAGAGUUGAGUGCUACAGUUUGCAAAGAGUGUUUCUGUUAAGCUGAUAGUGUGGCAGAACCUUAGUAGACUUCCAUGAUGACUACGGAUUGACAUUCUUCUGACUGUCCCUUUUCAUUUUUAUUCCGAAGCUAUAACAAGGUGAAAACCGGAUGAGAUAUAUUUUAUUAGUGUGUUCUCAUUUAUAUAGGGACCACAUUUUUCAUGACAAAGUACUAUAAUCAUUGAUCACAAAUAUCCAAACACUGAGAAAGGAGCAAAGUAUUGCAAAGAUUGGGAAACUUUUAUGAAGUUAAUUUGAAGAAAUUAAUCUCUGGUGGUGUUGUAUCUCCUAUAAAGUACAGCUCCUGGCAACAUGCUGGACCCUGAGACACCAGAAGCAGCUUCUAUGGGCCCUUCCCCAUGACAGCCACCCUCUGUAGAUGUCACAGGUUUAUAGACUGGAAGGGCACAGUGAGCAUCAGCUUUCAAUAUGAGAGAGCUUAUUUAUGCUCUCAUUUUAAAAUGAAACAAAUAUAUAGACAUUCUGAAAUUUUACCUCUGGACAUCUCGCAAGGGGUAGUCACCCCACUUGUAAAAUACCUACAAAUGACUCCUUGCAGUUAACCCUAACAACCCGGUUUUCUUUCGCCUCUCAGCUAAACUUUCCCCUUUAUUUUCAGUUUUAGUUUUUAAUUAGCUUAAAGAGAAGCAGGAUUCUUUAUGGAAUUUUCAUAUUUAAUUUUGGCUGGUCCCCCCACACACACACACACAUAUACCUUAAAGUUAAUUAUCUACAGAUUCACCUCCACAGGCCUGUCCCAUUGGAAGGGCUGAUGAGUGUGAUUUCCAGGGGCCAUGGCAAGCUAACCUUCCCUAACCAAAUACUGCCUCGUGUCUCCUGUUAUGAGAACAAAGAGAUGGAGACAAUCCCUAUGAUCUCCACUACAUAUAUCAUACCAGCCGCUAUGCACACAACAACAGUACAUUCUUGGUAGGAAAAGUGUUUGGUACCAAGUACAUGGUGGGCUCACUGAGACAAAGUCCCAGGAUUUCAGCCGGGCUCAGUACCCUUCCCAUUACAUGGUCAUGGAACCAAAUCCAGCCUCCGCAUCUUUCAGAAUAGGCUACAGGAAAAGCAAUUCACCUUCCCUCUGCUCUCUGUGAUAAUGAAGUCUGCUUGACUUUAUGACUUAUAUGGACACAAUGAACAACAUACCUGCUACUC